rnacentral:rRNA from 1 species
CCUACGGGAUGCAGCAGUGGGGAAUAUUGGGCAAUGGGCGCAAGCCUGACCCAGCAACGCCGCGUGAAGGAAGAAGGCUUUCGGGUUGUAAACUUCUUUUCUCAGGGACGAAGAAAGUGACGGUACCUGAGGAAUAAGCCACGGCUAACUACGUGCCAGCAGCCGCGGUAAUACGUAGGUGGCAAGCGUUAUCCGGAUGUAUUGGGUGUAAAGGGCGUGUAGGCGGGAGCGCAAGUCAGAUGUGAAAACUCAGGGCUCAACCCUGAGCCUGCAUUUGAAACUGUGUUUCUUGAGUACUGGAGAGGCAGACGGAAUUCCUAGUGUAGCGGUGAAAUGCGUAGAUAUUAGGAGGAACACCAGUGGCGAAGGCGGUCUGCUGGACAGCAACUGACGCUGAGGCGCGAAAGCGUGGGGAGCAAACAGGAUUAGAUACCCUAGUAGUC